rnacentral:rRNA from 1 species
UAGGGAAUAUUAGAAAUGGACGAAAGUCUGAUCUAGCAACACCGCGUGUGCGAAGAAGGCCUUCGGGUUGUAAAGCACUUUUUGGAAGGAUUAGGAAGGAAUGUACUUCCAGAAUAAGUCUCGGCUAACUACGUGCCAGCAGCCGCGGUAACACGUAGGAGGCAAACGUUAUCCGGAUUUACUGGGCGUAAAGCGCGUGUAGGUGGUUCUGUAAGUAGGGCGUGAAAGCUCCUGGCUCAACUGGGAGAGGCCGUUCUAAACUGCAGAGCUAGAGGAUGGUAGAGGGAGGUGGAAUUCCGGGUGUAGCGGUGGAAUGCGCAGAUAUCCGGAGGAACACCAGUGGCGAAAGCGGCCUCCUGGACCAUUCCUGACACUCAGACGCGAAAGCUAGGGUAGCAAACGGG